CCUACGGGUGGCAGCAGUGGGGAAUAUUGGACAAUGGGGGGAACCCUGAUCCAGCCAUGCCGCGUGUGUGAAGAAGGCCCUCGGGUUGUAAAGCACUUUCAGUGAGGAAGAACGCCUGGUGGUUAAUACCCAUCAGGAAAGACAUCACUCACAGAAGAAGCACCGGCUAACUCCGUGCCAGCAGCCGCGGUAAUACGGAGGGUGCGAGCGUUAAUCGGAAUUACUGGGCGUAAAGCGCGCGUAGGUGGCUUGAUAAGCCGGUUGUGAAAGCCCCGGGCUCAACCUGGGAACGGCAUCCGGAACUGUCAAGCUAGAGUGCAGGAGAGGAAGGUAGAAUUCCCGGUGUAGCGGUGAAAUGCGUAGAGAUCGGGAGGAAUACCAGUGGCGAAGGCGGCCUUCUGGACUGACUCUGACACUGAGGUGCGAAAGCGUGGGUAGCAAACAGGAUUAGAUACCCCAGUAGUC
rnacentral:rRNA from 1 species